UUGUUUCCUUUUUUUUCUUCUAUUCUCCCUUUUCAUCUAGGUUCACUAUGAAGAGCAAAGUUAGCACCUGUGCAAUGAUCCAAUUUGUUUUUGGGAUUUUGUGCUACAUUUCACCUCACCAAUUGCAGCUUCACCACAAGGUCAAAAGAAGUCUCCCCAGAGAAUUCGUUUAGCAUAACCAGAAGAGGCGGGGUCCUCAGCUGUCAAGGGCGCACGGAUACACUGAGACACAGCAAUGGUUAAUGAUGCUCUAGAAUCUAGAUGGUCUGUGAGGUUCAUCAGCUAACACUGACCCAGGUGCCAGCAGACUGCAUCACAGGUUUCAGAGAAGUAUUCAUCGUAUUGCCACUCAGCAGGAGUCUCUCUAUAGAAGAGACAAUUAUGCACCUGAAUCCUCCCUUCAGGGAAAUGAUCCAUUAUCAAGACAUGUAGGAAGAUAAUAAACCUAUGAAAAGAACAAUAAUGCAAGGUAAUAAUUGAUAUAUUGAAAUUUAAUACCAAUAGAAAAACUGCUUACAUUAUCCAAUAGUCUGAGGGAAAGCUUUAAAAUAGGAUGAAGGAAAAAACCCAUCAGUCAUUGAUCAGCCAUGGAGCUGAAUUUGGA
rnacentral:lncRNA from 1 species